CCUACGGGAGGCAGCAGUGGGGAAUAUUGGGCAAUGGGCGCAAGCCUGACCCAGCAACGCCGCGUGAAGGAAGAAGGCCUUCGGGUUGUAAACUUCUUUUGUCAGGGAAGAGUAGAAGACGGUAUCUGACGAAUAAGCUACGGCUAACUACGGGCCAGCAGCCGCGGUAAUACGUAGGUGGUAAGCGUUGUCCGGAUGUACUGGGGGAAAGGGGCGUGUAGCCGGGUUGACAAGUCAGAUGUAAAAGCCUGCGGCUUAACCGCAGAACUGCAUUUGGAACUGUUGAUCUUGAGUACUGGAGGGGCAGACGGAAUUCCUGGUGUAGCGGUGAAAGG
rnacentral:rRNA from 1 species